AACGAACGCUGGCGGCGUGCUUAACACAUGCAAGUCGAACGCGAACGGUCUCUUCGGAGACUUAGUAGAGUGGCGCACGGGUGAGUAACGCGUAAGUGAUCUACCCUUGUAUUUGGGACAACUACGGGAAACUGUAGCUAAUACCGGAUACGUUCUCCUGUUUACGAACAGGAGAAGAAAGAUGGCCUCUUCAUGAAAGCUAUCGUACAAGGAGGAGCUUGCGUACCAUUAGCUAGUUGGUAGGGUAAUGGCCUACCAAGGCAACGAUGGUUAGCGGGUCUGAGAGGAUGAUCCGCCACACUGGAACUGAAACACGGACCAGACUCCUACGGGAGGCAGCAGUGAGGAAUAUUGCGCAAUGGGGGAAACCCUGACGCAGCGACGCCGCGUGGAUGAUGAAGGCUUUCGGGUCGUAAAAUCCUGUCAGAUGGGAAGAAGUGCAUAGAGGUCAAUACCCUUUAUGUUUGACGGUACCAUCAAAGGAAGCACCGGCUAACUCCGUGCCAGCAGCCGCGGUAAUACGGAGGGUGCAAGCGUUGUUCGGAAUUACUGGGCGUAAAGCGCGCGUAGGCGGUUUGUUAAGUCAGAUGUGAAAGUCCAUGGCUCAACUAUGGAAGUGCAUUUGAUACUGGCAGACUUGAGUACUGGAGGGGGUGGUGGAAUUCCCGGUGUAGAGGUGAAAUUCGUAGAUAUCGGGAGGAAUACCGGUGGCGAAGGCGACCACCUGG
rnacentral:rRNA from 1 species